CUUAAAUCGUGAUCUUAAUGGCUUUCAUUUAUGGUUUUAUAGGGUUUUGAUGAAUGCAUGAAUUUCGUUCUUGAUGAUGCUGAAGAAGUCAAUGUCAAGAAGAAGAGCAGCAAGACACUGGGGAGGAUACUUUUGAAAGGAGACAACAUAACUCUGAUGAUGAAUUCGGGAAAAUGAUGUUCAUGUCACUGAUUGGAUUGAUUGGGGCUUACAGUGUUGUUCCCGUAGCAUAGCAUGUAUGUUGAGUUAAUUUACAGUUACUAUUUCGACUGCUUGGUUUGAGUACAUUUUGGAUAGCAUGUAGGAGAACUCAUUGAAUGUUGAUUUUAUAUGUGUAUAAGUAGAUGAGUUGUUGCA